rnacentral:rRNA from 1 species
GUUGAGUCGGGGCGAGGAGCCGAGGUAAUAGGUGGGGUGCAAGCGGUGAGCGGAUUUAUUGGUUUUAAAGGGUCCGUAGGCGGAUGUAGAAGUCAGUGGUGAAAGCCUGUCGCUUAAAGAUAGAACUGCCAGUGAUACUGUAAGUCUUGAGUAUAAUUGAGGUAGCUGGAAUAAGUAGUGUAGCGGUGAAAUGCAUAGAUAUUACUUAGAACACCAAUUGCGAAGGCAGGUUACCAAGGUAUAACUGACGCUGAGGGACGAAAGCGUGGGGAGCGAACAGGAUUAGAUACCCGGGUAGUC